AUGGUUUUGAGUAAUAUGCACACAACAUUUCCGUUGGUUUACCGCCUUGUUGAGUUAGCAUUAAUAUUACCUGUUGCAACCGCAAUAGUAGAAAGGGCCUUCUCAGCAAUGAGCAUUAUCAAGACCGACUUGAGGAAUAGGAUGGGUGAUGAUUGGUUGAAUCAUAGAAUGGUAUGUUACAUUGAGCGAGAUGUAUUUGUUAGUACUGAGGAGUCAAAGAUCAUUGAGCGAUUUUAG
rnacentral:rRNA from 1 species